ensembl:snoRNA
CCCCUCUAGUUCCCUUUUCCUAUCAGAUCUGAACACUAGUCUUGGUGGUCAUAAAGGAGGAAAAGGAAUCCUGAAUCUGGCCUCACAGGCUUAUGGUCUGAUAUGUUGCAUGUGGGCUAGUUUCAAACAAGG